rnacentral:rRNA from 1 species
CUACGGGUGGCAGCAGUUAGGCAUCUUCUGCAAUGCGCGCAAGCGUGACAGAGUGAGCCAGAGUGCCUUUCAUUGAAAGGCUUUUGCCAAAUGUAAAAAGUUUGGCGAAUAAGGACUGGGUAAGACGAGUGCCAGCCGCCGCGGUAAUACUCGCGGUCCAAGUCGCAGCCAUCUUUAUUGGGUCUAAAACAUCCGUAGCUUGCUAGGUGAGUUCCCUGUGAAAUUCUGUAUCUUAAGUUCAGAGCGAGCAGGGAGUACUGCCUAGCUAGAGACUGGAAGACGUGAGAAGUACGCUCAAGGUAGCGGUAAAAUGUUUUAAUCUUGGACGGACUCACAACAGCGAAGGCAUCUCACGAGGACAGUUCUGACAGUAAGGGAUGAAGGCUAGGGGCGCAAAACGGAUUAGAUACCCCCGUAGUC